CGGGUGAGUAACGCGUGGAGAACCUGCCGUAUACUGGGGGAUAACACUUAGAAAUAGGUGCUAAUACCGCAUAAGCGCACAGAGCCGCAUGGCUCAGUGUGAAAAACUCCGGUGGUGUAAGAUGGAUCCGCGUCUGAUUAGCUAGUUGGCGGGGUAGAAGCCCACCAAGGCGACGAUCAGUAGCCGGCCUGAGAGGGUGAACGGCCACAUUGGGACUGAGACACGGCCCAAACUCCUACGGAAGGCAGCAG
rnacentral:rRNA from 1 species